rnacentral:rRNA from 1 species
GCGGAUCUAGCUUGCUAUGAAGCUUUCGACCUGGGACGGUCAGUGGCGGACGGGUGAGUAACGCGUGGGUAACCUGCCUCUGUCAGGGGGAUAACAGAUAGAAAUGCCUGCUAAUACCGCAUAAGCGCACAGCACCGCAUGGUGCAGUGUGAAAAGAUUUAUCGGACAGAGAUGGACCCGCGUUAGAUUAGCCAGUUGGCGGGUAACGGCCCACCAAAGCUACGAUCUAUAGCCGGCCUGAGAGGGCGACCGGCCACAUUGGGACUGAGACACGGCCCAAACUCCUACGGGAGGCAGCAGUGGGGAAUAUUGCACAAUGGGGGAAACCCUGAUGCAGCGAACCGCCGCGUGAGUGAAGAAGUAUUUCGGUAUGUAAAGCUCUAUCAGCAGGGAAGAAGAUGACGGUACCUGCACAAGAAGCCCCGGCUAACUACGUGCCAGCAGCCGC